UUCCGGUUGAUCCUGCCGGAGGCUACCGCUAUUGGAGUUCGAUUAAGCCAUGCGAGUCCAGAGCUUUCGGAGCUCGGCGUACCGCUCAGUAACACGUGGGUAACCUAACCUAUGCAGGGGAAUAACCUCGGGAAACUGAGAAUAAUGCCCCAUAGUCCACUACGCCUGGAACGGUGAGUGGAUGAAAGCUCAGGCGGCAUAGGAUGGGCCUGCGGCGUAUCAGGUUGUAGGGGGUGUAAAGUACCCUCUAGCCCUCUACGCGUACGGGUGUUGGGAGACAUAGCCCGGAGAUGGAUUCUGAGACACGAAUCCAGACCCUACGGGGUGCAGCAGGCGCGAAAACUUGGCAAUGCGAGCAAUCGUGACCAGGGAACUCCAAGUGGCUGGGGUAAGACCCAGUCUUUUCAGAACUCUUCAAAGGUUUUAGAAUAAGGGGUGGGUAAGGACGGUGCCAGCCGCCGCGGUAAUACCGGCGCCUCAAGUGGUAGUCGCUUUUAUUGGGCCUAAAACGUCCGUAGCCGGUUUGGUACAUUCGUGGGUAAAUCAACUCGCUCAACGAGUUGAAUUCUGCGAGGACGGCCAGACUUGGGACCGGGAGAGGUGUGGGGUACUCUCAGGGUAGGGGUAAAAUCCUGUCAUCCUGAGAGGACCACCUGUUGCGAAGGCGCCACACUAGAACGGAUCCGACGGUCAGGGACGAAGCCUAGGGGCACGAACCGGAUUAGAUACCCGGGUAGUCCUAGGUGUAAACGCUGUGGACUUGAUGUUGGAGGAGCUCCGAGCUCUUUCAGUGUCGAAGCGAAGGUGAUAAGUCCACUGCCUGGGAAGUACGGUCGCAAGGCUGAAACUUAAAGGAAUUGGCGGGGGAGCACCGCAACCUGAGGAUUGUGCGGUUUAAUUGGAGUCAACGCCGGA
rnacentral:rRNA from 1 species